GGUGCAGUGGUUAAAGCACUUGGCUGCUAACCAAAAGGUCGGCGGUUCAAACCCAGCUGCUCCG
rnacentral:tRNA from 1 species